UAAAGCGUGCGUAGGCGGAAAUGUAAGUCAGAAGUGAAAGCCCAGGGCUCAACCCUGGAACUGCUUUUGAGACUGCAAUUCUAGAAUUCGGUAGAGGCUAGUGGAAUGUCCAGUGUAGAGGUGAAAUUCGCAGAUAUUGGACGGAACACCAGUGGCGAAGGCGACUAGCUGGGCCGAUAUUGACGCUGAGGUACGAAAGCGUGGGUAGCAAACAGGAUUAGAUACCCUGU
rnacentral:rRNA from 1 species